rnacentral:misc_RNA from 1 species
GUAGGUGAACCUGCGGAAGGAUCAUUAAUGAAGCUUGGAAACCCUCCCCUCGGGGACGGGGGGGACCUCUCUCUCAUCACACACACCCUUGUGAACCCACACCGUUGCUUCGGCGGCAAACGGUCGGAGACGACCACCGCCGGAGGAUUCUUUGCCAAACAACUGCCCAACAAAGCGUCUGAACCACAAGCAAGAAAAAAAUUGUAACAAAACUUUCAACAAUGGAUCUCUUGGCUCUG